rnacentral:rRNA from 1 species
UGAGGAAUAUUGGUCAAUGGUCGAGAGACUGAACCAGCCAAGUCGCGUGAAGGAUGACUGCCCUAUGGGUUGUAAACUUCUUUUACAAGGGAAUAAAAUGAGAUACGUGUAUUUUAUUGCAUGUACCUUGAGAAUAAGCAUCGGCUAACUCCGUGCCAGCAGCCGCGGUAAUACGGAGGAUGCGAGCGUUAUCCGGAUUUAUUGGGUUUAAAGGGUGCGUAGGUGGGCUGUUAAGUCAGCGGUGAAAGUUUGUCGCUUAACGAUAAAAUUGCCGUUGAAACUGGUAGUCUUGAGUAUAGAGGAAGUAGGCGGAAUGCGUGGUGUAGCGGUGAAAUGCAUAGAGAUCACGCAGAACUCCGAUUGCGAAGGCAGCUUACUAAGGUAUAACUGACACUGAAGCACGAAAGGGUGGGUAUCAAACAGG